UUGGUUAAGUUAGAAAGGGCGCACGGUGGAUGCCUUGGCACUAGGAGCCGAAGAAGGACGGGACUAACACCGAUAUGCUUUGGGGAGCUGUACGUAAGCGUUGAUCCAGAGAUUUCCGAAUGGGGGAACCCACUAUCUUUAGUCGGAUAGUAUCCUUACGUGAAUACAUAGCGUGAGGAAGGCAGACCCAGGGAACUGAAACAUCUAAGUACCUGGAGGAAGAGAAAGAAAAAUCGAUUUCCUGAGUAGCGGCGAGCGAAACGGAAAGAGCCCAAACCAAGAAGCUUGCUUCUUGGGGUUGUAGGACACUCUAUACGGAGUUACAAAAGAAAGUUAUAAAUGAAGCGGUCUGGAAAGGCCCGCCAAAGACGGUAACAGCCCGGUAGUUGAAAUGGCUUUCCCUCCAGAGUGGAUCCUGAGUACGGCGGAACACGUGAAAUUCCGUCGGAAUCCGGGAGGACCAUCUCCCAAGGCUAAAUACUCCCUAGUGACCGAUAGUGAACCAGUACCGUGAGGGAAAGGUGAAAAGCACCCCGGAAGGGGAGUGAAACAGUUCCUGAAACCGUGUGCCUACAAGUAGUUAGAGCCCGUUAAUGGGUGAUAGCGUGCCUUUUGUAGAAUGAACCGGCGAGUUACGAUUUGUUGCAAGGUUAAGCGGAAAAAGCGGAGCCGUAGCGAAAGCGAGUCUGAAUAGGGCGCAUAAGUAACAGGUCGUAGACCCGAAACCAGGUGA
rnacentral:rRNA from 1 species